rnacentral:rRNA from 1 species
UACGUAGGGCGCAAGCGUUGUCCGGAAUUAUUGGGCGUAAAGAGCUCGUAGGCGGUUUGUCGCGUCGGCUGUGAAAACUCGGGGCUCAACCCCGAGCCUGCAGUCGAUACGGGCAAACUCGAGUGCGGUAGGGGAGACUGGAAUUCCUGGUGUAGCGGUGAAAUGCGCAGAUAUCAGGAGGAACACCGGCGGCGAAGGCGGGUCUCUGGGCCGUAACUGACGCUGAGGAGCGAAAGCGUGGGGAGCGAACAGG